UACGUAGGGUCCGAGCGUUGUCCGGAAUUAUUGGGCGUAAAGGGUUCGUAGGCGGCUUGUCGCGUCGGGAGUGAAAACACGGGGCUUAACCCCGUGCCUGCUUCCGAUACGGGCAGACUAGGGGUAUGCAGGGGAGAACGGAAUUCCUGGUGUAGCGGUGAAAUGCGCAGAUAUCAGGAGGAACACCGGUGGCGAAGGCGGUUCUCUGGGCAGUAACUGACGCUGAGGAACGAAAGCGUGGGGAGCGAACAGG
rnacentral:rRNA from 1 species